AUUACCGUGAGUUUUAUUGUUGUGGAGUUCUGUAAUAAACCGGCACACACCACAUAGUACUGUGAGGGCUUUUUGUUUCUGUGGAGCUCAGUGAUAAAUGGAGAAACAGCGCAUUACUACAAAUUUUUAUUCCAAAGAGGUCAAGGUAAAUAAGUAUAAUCCACAGCUCACAAGCAAAACCACACACAGUAUUGUGUGACAUACUUAGUCUGCUCCUCUGUAAUGUAG